rnacentral:sRNA from 1 species
UUAACAGUCCUGUGGCCUGAAGUUCUGCUCAGCCACAAAACAGUGCCCAAAGCUGACAGCAGGGUGGAUUUGCACAUGCUGCUCACCUUAUGCUCCUUAAUUGUGUUCUGCAAAGACCUCAUCUAAGGACAGAGGUAGUUUUGUUUUCAUGCUCAUUUAAUCCCUGGCUUCU